AGUGCCCUGCGGGGUGCGUGAUGAGUCUUUCAUUAACCCACAUUUUGUUAUAAGGGACGCUGGUUCAUUGUCUGGUUUGCAGGCCUCCCGGCUGCCACUCUCGCGGUUGGAAGUUGGAAGCAGUAAAGGGCAAUGCAGGCGACCCACCUGCCUUAUAUGUGCAGGUUAUAACAAGGCUCACACGGCCGCUGCGGGGCUACU
rnacentral:other from 1 species